rnacentral:rRNA from 1 species
CCCUUAGAUGUUCUGGGCCGCACGCGCGCUACACUGUUCGACGCAGCGAGUCUUAACCUUGACCGAAAGGUUUGGGUAAUCUUCAGCAAAGUCGAACGUGAUGGGGAUCGAUCAUUGCAAUUAUUGAUCGUGAACGAGGAAUGCCUAGUAAGCGCAAGACAUCAGCUUGCGUUGAUUACGUCCCUGCCCUUUGUACACACCGCCCGUCGCUCCUACCGAUUGAAUGGUCCGGUGAAGCGUUUGGACUAUGGUUUUCUGAUGGUCCGCCGUUGGAUUACCGUGGGAAGUUCGUUAAACCUUAUCAUUUAGAGGAAGGAGAAGUCGUAACA